ensembl:lincRNA
CGCUCUGGCUAGAGAGGCCAAGGGGCCAGAGUUGAGUGCUAACAAUUGCUGGACACACUCACUUCCGGGGCCCUCCAGAGCUCCCUAUUUUUCUCCCACUCCGCAUCCCCUAAAGCUCUUCGGCCCUCUAUUUCAACUAUUCAAAAACAUGCAACAAAUAUUUGCUGGCUUCUUACGAUAAACCACUGAUGCAAGCUGUUCCUCCUCUCCUAGAGGACAAGGGCCACGUCUCAGCGGCCCGUUCUCCACGUUCCUGGAUACCCGCAAGCAGCGGAUGCUGUGUAUCGUAAUGCUCAGUGGCUGUGCCUGCCGGUUUCCCAAGGCCUCUACCUUCCUCCCAAGCUGUCCCCUUGCCGGCAUCUUGAGUUCUGGAUUGAACAUGAAUACAGAGUGGCCUAUGCCCCCCUCCAUCACAAGACCAGGCACAGGUGUGCUCAGAAACUGGACAGAGAGGACCUCCUGCGCCCUGGAUACGGAGGUCCUCAAGAAUGUUGAUCAGUCCACCUGACCAGCUUGUGAAGCUCUACUCUGCAGCAGAUACCUGGAGAGGCAGCUGAGUCCGAAAAAUGAGAGAAAAGAAUGGGGGAGCAGUAAGAAGUAAGCGUCCACUUUGGUGUCUUUGACGAAGCCCUAAGUGCAGUGUUCGCAUGUGCACAUGUGCAGAAUCAGGCCCAUGGGCCUGAACACGUGUGUUCCAGCUGGAGAUGAAAGCCCGACAUCCACCGCAGACAAGCACUGCUGCACAGGGUUGGGCCUCUUGCACCAUCCUGACUUUCAGUCUGAAAAAGCACCCUUCAGCCUGCAGCAGGAAGAACUGGAACAGGACUACUGAGUCUCACGGUGGAGAGGCCUCCAUCUCUUUCACACAGCAGGUGGCCUAACUCUUGUCCUACCACCUAUUACUGUGUAACUUCUGGCAAAUGACUUAACCUCUCUGAGCUUUGGUUCAGUCUUAACAAGAAAGACAGUGAAGCCGGGCUUGAUGGCGCAUGCCUGUAAUCCCAGUCCUCAGGAGGCUGAGGCAGGAGGAUCACUGUGAGUUUGAGACCAGCCUGGGCUACAUAGAGUUCCAGGUAAGUCUCAGUUACACAGUGAGACCCUGCCUCAACCACCACCCCCCCGCAAAAAAAAGAAAGACAGACAGUGAAGCCAGACAGAACAGCAUACACCUGUAAUCCCAGCUACUCAGGAGGCUGAGGCAGAGGGAUUGCAAGUGUGAUGCUAUCCUGGGCAAUUUCUGGAGACGUUGUCUCAGAAUAAUAAAUCAAAAGGCCUGGAGAUGUAUCUCAGUAGUAAUGUAUGUUCCAGUUUGAUCCCUAACCAGUAAAGAAAAAGAAAAGAAAGAGAGAAGGAAAAGGCAAUGAAAAUACUAGUGCCUACCUUACUGUCAGGCGGCAGAACCACUGAGCUAGAUCCCUGACCCUUGCACCUACCUUAUGGGCAGUUGUAAGAAUUAAAUGUGAGAGUUUGUGAAGAGUGCUUGGCAGUCAGUGCUCGGAGCACUUGGCCAUUAUGCCUCUGAGGCCAGAAGAAAGAGGGGAACCCUGAGAAUGUGGAAAUGGCCUGGGGACCUGCAUUACUAUGUGGGGAUCUGAGGAGGCCCUGGAAUGCCCUUGGUCCCCUCCCCUCUGCCCUGGGAUCCCUCUGAGCUCUUGGCCUCCCACCUGUCCCCCUGGGGUCCGCCCCUCUCUGCUGCAGCCACAUUUACCAGCUGACUUACCCUGACCACAGCCCCACAACUCAGGCCCCCAAACCCUGCGUCCUCUCAGCCUCUGCAGUGUCCCCUGUCCACCUGACGGAUGGCAGAACAAGGUGGCAGCAGGCACCAGAGGGUACUCAC